rnacentral:rRNA from 1 species
UACGGAAGGCAGCAGUGGGGAAUAUUGCACAAUGGGCGCAAGCCUGAUGCAGCCAUGCCGCGUGUAUGAAAAAGGCCUUCGGGUUGUAAAGUACUUUCAGUCGUGAGGAAGGUGUUAAGGUUAAUAACCUUAGCAAUUGACGUUAGCGACAGAAGAAGCACCGGCUAACUCCGUGCCAGCAGCCGCGGUAAUACGGAGGGUGCGAGCGUUAAUCGGAAUUACUGGGCGUAAAGGGCACGCAGGCGGUUAAUUAAGUUGGAUGUGAAAUCCCCGGGCUUAACCUGGGAAUGGCAUUCAAGACUGGUUAGCUAGAGUCUUGUAGAGGGGGUAGAAUUCCGAUGUGUAGCGGUGAAAUGCGUAGAGAUGUGGAGGAAUACCGGUGGCGAAGGCGGCCCCUGGACAAAGACUGACGCUCAUGUGCGAAAGCGUGGGGGCAAACGAGGGAUUAGAUACC